rnacentral:rRNA from 1 species
GACGAACGCUGGCGGCGUGCUUAACACAUGCAAGUCGAGCGAGGCCCACUCUUCGGGGUGGUGCCCUAGCGGCGAACGGGUGAGUAACACGUGGGCAACCUGCCCUCAGCUCUGGGAUAACUCCAAGAAAUUGGUGCUAAUACCGGAUAUGACCGCUGACCGCAUGGUCUGGUGGUGGAAAGAUUCAUCGGCUGAGGAUGGGCCCGCGGCCUAUCAGCUUGUUGGGGGGUGAUGGCCCACCAAGGCGACGACGGGUAGCCGGCCUGAGAGGGCGACCGGCCACACUGGGACUGAGACACGGCCCAGA